CGUAGGUGGCAAGCGUUGUCCGGAUUUAUUGGGUUUAAAGGGUGCGUAGGUGGCCCUGUAAGUCAGUGGUGAAAUAUCUCAGCUUAACUGAGAGGGAGCCAUUGAUACUGCAGGGCUUGAGUACAGAUGAGGUAGGCGGAAUUGACGGUGUAGCGGUGAAAUGCAUAGAUAUCGUCAAGAACACCGAUAGCGAAGGCAGCUUACCAAGCUGUAACUGACACUGAGGCACGAAGGUGUGGGGAUCAAACAGGAUUAGAUACCCUGGUAGUCCACACUGUAAACGUUGAUGACUCGAUGUUGGCGAUACACAGCCAGCGUCCAAGAGCAAUCGUUAAGUCAUCCACCUGGGGAGUACGCCGGCAACGGUG
rnacentral:rRNA from 1 species